AUUGAACGCUGGCGGCAGGCCUAACACAUGCAAGUCGAGCGGAUGAAGGGAGCUUGCUCCUGGAUUCAGCGGCGGACGGGUGAGUAAUGCCUAGGAAUCUGCCUGGUAGUGGGGGAUAACGUCCGGAAACGGGCGCUAAUACCGCAUACGUCCUGAGGGUGAAAGUGGGGGAUCUUCGGUCCUCACGCUAUCAGAUGAGCCUAGGUCGGAUUAGCUAGUUGGUGGGGUAAAGGCCUACCAAGGCGACGAUCCGUAACUGGUCUGAGAGGAUGAUCAGUCACACUGGAACUGAGACACGGUCCAGACUCCUACGGGAGGCAGCAGUGGGGAAUAUUGGACAAUGGGCGAAAGCCUGAUCCGGCCAUGCCGCGUGUGUGAAGAAGGUCUUCGGAUUGUAAAGCACUUUAAGUUGGGAGGAAGGGCAGUAAGUUAAUACCUUGCUGUUUUGACGUUACCAACAGAAUAAGCACCGGCUAACUUCGUG
rnacentral:rRNA from 1 species